CGGUGGAGCAUGUGUUAAUUCGUAAGCAACGCGAAGAACCUUACCAGGUCUUGACAUCCCGAUGCUAUUUCUAGAGAUAGAAGUUACUUCGGUACAUCGGUGACAGGUGGUGCAUGGUUGUCGUCAGCUCGUGUCGUGAGAUGUUGGGUUAAGUCCCGCAACGAGCGCAACCCCUAUUGUUAGUUGCCAUCAUUCAGUUGGGCACUCUAGCGAGACUGCCGGUAAUAAACCGGAGGAAGUGGGGAUGACGUCAAAUCAUCAUGCCCCUUAUGACCUGGGCUACACACGUGCUACAAUGGUUGGUACAACGAGUUGCGAGUCGGUGACGGCGAGCUAAUCUCUUAAAGCCAAUCUCAGUUCGGAUUGUAGGCUGCAACUCGCCUACAUGAAGUCGGAAUCGCUAGUAAUCGCGGAUCAGCACGCCGCGGUGAAUACGUUCCCGGGCCUU
rnacentral:rRNA from 1 species